GAUUUCUCGGGCGUCGGCGCUGUGUUCCCAGCGGACUGUGACGAGCACCAGGUUACAAGCUUUGACCGCAAUCACUAGUCUUGAAGAUUGAUAUUCUUCAAUUCUACUCCAAAACUGCAAGGCGUAAUCAGCAGCGAUAUCUCCCUCGUCGAAGAACCAUAUCGAUCUACUGUGCUACUGAGCGAGGAAGAAGGAGCGAUGAUGAGGGCGCGUGGACCUGGAGGUACUAGUCGACGCUCUCUUGGGUGGGU